UUCAUUUACGCCUACAUGUAGAGAUCAAAUAUUCAAGUUAUUAAUUUUCUACCCCUGAACGAAAAACAAACAAAAAAAAAAGCCGAAUUCUUGUUUUUUGUUUUGUUUGAAAAAAAUGAAAAACGAAAAAGGUGCCGUUUUUUCAUUUUCCGAUUUCAAUAUUAAAUCAAAAAACGAAUGACCAAAAGAUACACGGACCGUGGUUUCUCGGUUUGAUAGAUUUGAGCAACCAUAAACGACGCAAAACAUAGGAAUUUUGAGUUUGUGAUAGGAUAUAGAAAAAUCACUCCUUGCCCUCCAGCCGCAUUUCGCAUGCAGCAAUGACGUCAUGUGCAAACAACCUAUUUGUGUUUACGUCACUCAAAUAGAGCGCUUACCAAGCUAUGGAGAAAUUGGUAGCCAGGCAACAGACAAGUGACCAGUCCUGAGUGUCGACAUCACUUCACGGAUUCUACCAGCACGAUUGUCUAACCGUGCUGAGAAUUCCGGGCCGAGAACGGUUUAUAGGCCUAAUCGUGCCGUGCCGUACCAGGCUCCAGUGGAAACACAACUGGAAUCGUUUCUUACCAUUCUAAGAACCUUUCGGCCUGACGGUGGAAAAGCGGCUAAAAGAACAAGACCGACCGUCAUUGAAAUCUCAUAACGGGCCAAAACCAACCAUCACUGAAAUCUUGUAACGAAACGAAACCGACCGUCCUUGAAAUCUUGUAACUGAACAAAACUGACCAUCAUUGAAAUCUCGUAAUUAAACAAAACCGAUAGUUUGAAUCCUGGAUGGCUGCUGCUCCUCCAGGACAGGUUUGAGAACCACUGCUCUAGAUCUCAGCAUCCACACUUAUUUCAAACCAGUAUGACUUUAUUUCUUUCAUACAAAACUUCUUAAUGAGAAUUAACAGAGGUUUAGAUGUUGAUGUUUUAUUGAACAUAAUCAAGUUUGAAGUCACCGUUAUGGAGGUGAGCAUUUGCUGUAGAUGGGCUCUUGAUUCUUGACAUUUUAACCUUAGAUUUUCUCUUGUUGCUGUAACUGUGUUUCAAAACUAGCUUAUUACAGCAAAAAUUGCAAGAGAAAUUCUGAUCAGAUGAAUUUGGUUAUUUAAUGAUGGUGAUUUAAUCAUCAUGGUGUGUCCUGGUUGACUGAUUCUCUCCAGAGUCUAAAUUCUGACUGUUAGUUUUGCAUUAUUUGUGUCUCUUUUGUGACAGUCAAAUGUUCUGAUUUUAAAAUUCAUUAUACAGAGUUUUGAGCAGUGUACUUCAGACUUCCACAGACUUAAUGAAUCAGCGUAUGAACCUCAACAAUGGUGACAAAAAACAUUUUUUUUUUAUUUUGUAACUUUAGUAGCUUAUUUUGUGUUGCUCAGAGUUAAUCUGUUUAUCUGAAAAUUUUGUCACCAUUGUUGAAGUUCAUACGCUGAAUCUUGAUGUCUGUGUUAGUCUACAUGACCCUGUUUGAAUAAUUUCUGCAUAAUGACUUAAGAACUUUCAAAUUAUAGAAACAGAGCAGAAUUUUAUGCGGUAUUAUAAUAACAUGAAAGAAAUACUAUAUAGAUCAGUGAACCAAGUCACUGCAUGAUGGUGAUAUCAAUAAGCAAUCAAGUUCAUCUGAUUAAAUUUUUUUUCCACAAUUUUUGUUAUAACAAAUGCACUUUAUAACAAUUACAGAAAAAGUAAAGUUAAAAUGUCAAGGAUCAAGAGCCCAAAUAAAGCAAUCGCUUACCUCUAUAAUGGUGACUUCAAACUUCUUAAAAGAAGAACGUCUCUUAAAAGACCGUCUCGGAACGUACUAGGCAACAUCCAGUGGGGAUAUUCUGAAAACAUUUUGGCAACGUAAAAUUUCUAACGGGGUACAUACAGUACAUCCAGGACAUUUACGUGCUGUGCGCACCUAAAGGGCUGACAGAAACCUUUUUCACUGAUGCCAUUUUCGCUCACCCGCGAUGCUGAGCAAACGAGGAUGGGAAGCACAGAGAUAAAGUGUUUUAUAUUUGAUUUACAGUAUUAAGGUUUUUGUUUUAGGUUGGUAUAUGUGCUGUGUGUGCGCGCCUAAACUUUCCUCAGAGAUAUAUUCUUUGACCCGUGGUGCGGAGCAGACGAGAGAAAACUCUUUUACAAGGAAAUACCUACAACGACAUUUCCUAUGACUCGCCAUGUGGUGCAGACACGGGCUACUUCUCAAUAUCCCUCCUCGUUUCCUCGCUCCUCCGUCCUCCAUCCUAUGACCCGGAAACCGAUUGAACUCAGCCAUCUUGAAGGACAUCUCAGUUCUCUAAUUACACCACGAGGAGGCGAGGAACGAGGAGUGAGAAAGCUUCCUGAGGAGUCAUGAGCGAGGAUACACAGGGCAAAAUUAGCUGUAUAGACCAAAACCACAAUUUGAUCCAGGCUGUAAACAUGUUUUUUUCUGCUGUAAAGUUGGGCAUUUUAACAUGGGACUCAAUGAGAUUCUGCUUUCUUUUGGAGCCUGUCCCUAGCGGCCAGUCGAUGAAUCGCAGUUUAAGUCACUUCCUUAUUGGCUUCAAGAGAAACUGGGGGAGAUUGCUGCUUGGCUGAACCCACAAGUUUGCGAGCUACGCAGAGGACUUCACCCGGCAAUCAAAGCGCCGUUACGUCACGAAAGUGCGGACUCAGAGGAAGACCUUGAGGGUUUAGGGUGCCAUUGGGGAUUCAGCCACAGAUGUAUCCUUUGCGGAAGUCUUUCUCGUCAAAAAACCUGACGCACGUAUAAAUUCUAAAAAUAUAGAAGAUAUAUUAAAAUAUAUCUGUCACAAUAAUUUAAAUGUAUGCUUUACUUUUGCAGUUUAAAUAAACUUUACAUCUCAUA